UGGAAAACUCAGAAGUGGCAGGAGCCAGCAGCAUACAGAGGGUAAGUGAAGCAUGAGAGUGGACAAGAUUUCCCAGGAAAAGCAUGCAGAGAAGAGGUUUAUAGUCUUUCUUGGGGGUAGGUGGGUGAUCAUCUGAUGAAGUCCAUGAACGUUUUCUUCAGAAUUAUCUUCAGGGGGCUUGCUUGUUAAGAAAAUGAAAGAAAUCAGGACAUAAUUGAGGGUUGUCAUGAGGUCAAGAAAGAUUGAGACUUAACUAUGUUUAUACAGACAAGUAGUCAGGAAAGGAUUAGAGAAACUGAAGAGAGGAAGAAUAUUCAAUCAGAAAACCAAGCCCUCGAGAAAUGACAAAGAGAUGGGCUCCCUAACAGAGCAAAAGGCAAGAGUGUUAGGCAAAAGCAGGGGCAACUUUUUAAAGUCAGGAACAAGGAAGAAGUGCUAGAAGGGAGUGCAGAGACUGGAGAGCAGAGGACUGUUAUCUGUAGAAGACAGGUAUUUGACCAGAGCUGUGCUGCAGGAUGCAGGCAGACGGACAAGUUGACACCGAAGAGCCAAUGCACAGGCCACAAGAAAAACAUCCACAGUGAAGCUGCAGUGACAGCCUCUCCUUACUGGGCAAAGUCAGCUUACCUCCCACUCCCAUCGGUCCUACCGCCAGAACCAUUGCGGAAUCCUGAACUAUGAACCUCCGUGUUCACUUCUCUAGAGGUGCGGAACAUUCCUCUGAAACUGAGGCUUUCUGAAGGAAGCUAAUUUUGUUGUUUUGUUUUGUUUUUUGUUUUUUUGAAAUGGAGUUUUGCUCUUGUUUCCCAGGCUGGAGUGCAAUGGCAUGAUCUUGGCACACUGCAACCUCCGCCUCUUGGGCUCGAGGGAUUCUCCUGCCUCAGCCUUCCAAAUGGCUGGGAUUACAGGCAUGCGCCACCAUGCCCGGCAAAUUUUGUAUUUUUCUUUUAGUAGUGACGGCGUUUCUCCAUGUUAGUCAGGCUGGUCUCGAACUCCUGACUUCAGGUGAUCCGCCUGCCUCGGCCUCCCAAAGUGCUGGGAUUACAGGUGUGAGCCAGCAUGAAAUUUUUCAUUGCUACU
rnacentral:lncRNA from 1 species